rnacentral:rRNA from 1 species
AGUGAACGCUGGCGGUAGGCCUAACACAUGCAAGUCGAACGGCAGCACAGUAAGCGCUUGCUCUUACGGUUGGCGAGUGGCGGACGGGUGACGCAUACAUCGGAAUCUACUUUUUCGUGGGGGAUAACGGAGGGAAACUUACGCUAAUACCGCAUACGACCUACGGGUGAAAGCAGGGGAUCUUCGGACCUUGCGCGAUUGAAUGAGCCGAUGUCGGAUUAGCUAGUUGGCGAGGUAAAGGCACACCAAGGCGACGAUCCGUAGCUGGUCUGAGAGGAUGAUCAGCCACACUGGAACUGAGACACGGUCCAGACUCCUACGGGAGGCAGCAGUGGGGAAUAUUGGACAAUGGGCGCAAGCCUGAUCCAGCCAUACCGCGUGAGUGAAGAAGGCCUUCGGGUUGUAAAGCCCUUUUGUUGGGAAAGAAAAGCAGCAGGUUAAUACCCCGCUGUUCUGACGGUACCCAAAGAAUAAGCACCGGCUAACUUCGUG